CUAUUUCUCAGCUCUUGCAAUGAUUUCCUGAGCUCCGGGCGUUCUUUUCAGGAAAUCCCCACGCCAAUACCUUGAAGAAUUCCCUCUGCAAUUUUUUGCCAGGGGAGAGUCCAUAAUGGUUGAAUGAAUGCUGGAGCGGGCAGCAGAGAGAUCACACCUUCAGCAAGAAACAUGAGGCAGAGAGAGCGAACUGGAAGUGGAUUGGUGCCUACCCCAAAAGCCAUCAGAGAGACUUCAUCUAGUAGCUGAAACAGAUGCAGAGAUCCACAGCCAAGCAUUGGGCAUAGCUCAAGAACUCCUGCUCAAGAGAGAGAGAGGAAGGAUUGUAGGAGCCAGAGGGGUCAAGGACAACCACAAGAAAAAUCCACAGAAACAACU